UACGUAGGGGGCGAGCGUUGUCCGGAUUUAUUGGGCGUAAAGAGCGUGUAGGCGGUUCGGUAAGUCUGUCGUGAAAUCCCGAGGCUCAACCUCGGGCGUGCGAUGGAUACUGCCGGGCUAGAGGGUGGUAGAGGAGAGUGGAAUUCCCGGUGUAGCGGUGAAAUGCGCAGAUAUCGGGAGGAACACCAGUAGCGAAGGCGGCUCGCUGGGCCACACCUGACGCUGAGACGCGAAAGCUAGGGGAGCGAACAGG
rnacentral:rRNA from 1 species